CUAUACAUGCAGUCGAGCGACAGAUAAGGAGCUUGCUCCUUUGACGUUAGCGGCGGACGGGUGAGUAACACGUGGGUAACCUACCUAUAAGACUGGAAUAACUUCGGGAAACCGAAGCUAAUGCCGGAUAACAUGUAGAACCGCAUGGUUCUACAGUGAAAGAUGGCCUUGCUAUCACUUAUAGAUGGACCCGCGCCGUAUUAGCUAGUUGGUAAGGUAACGGCUUACCAAGGCAACGAUACGUAGCCGACCUGAGAGGGUGAUCGGCCACACUGGAACUGAGACACGGUCCAGACUCCUACGGGAGGCAGCAGUAGGGAAUCUUCCGCAAUGGGCGAAAGCCUGACGGAGCAACGCCGCGUGAGUGAUGAAGGUCUUCGGAUCGUAAAGCUCUGUUAUUAGGGAAGAACAAGUGCGUAAGUAACUGUGCGCACCUUGACGGUACCUAAUCAGAAAGCCACGGCUAACUACGUGCCAGCAGCCGCGGUAAUACGUAGGUGGCAAGCGUUAUCCGGAAUUAUUGGGCGUAAAGCGCGCGUAGGCGGUUUCUUAAGUCUGAUGUGAAAGCCCACGGCUCAACCGUGGAGGGUCAUUGGAAACUGGGAGACUUGAGUGCAGAAGAGGAAAGUGGAAUUCCAUGUGUAGCGGUGAAAUGCGCAGAGAUAUGGAGGAACACCAGUGGCGAAGGCGACUUUCUGGUCUGUAACUGACGCUGAUGUGCGAAAGCGUGGGGAUCAAACAGGAUUAGAUACCCUGGUAGUCCACGCCGUAAACGAUGAGUGCUA
rnacentral:rRNA from 1 species